rnacentral:hammerhead_ribozyme from 1 species
AUCCAUCUGACGAGUCCUAAAUAGGACGAAACGAGUAUCCUGGAU